rnacentral:lncRNA from 1 species
CAUUUUAGUAGCAUAUUUGUCCAAUACGUCUUCCAAGUCAUAAGCUAAGUCCCUGAGAUCAUCCAGCCAAAGCUUCAGCGGCUUGCUCUCGGUGAUUAGUUGCCUCUCCUCCGCCUCAUUCAGAACCGCUCCAAUUGCAGACAAGGUGGCAGUCCAUUUCUGCAGCUUUUGGUCGACGCCCUUUAUGAGUCCAAAGUACUUGAACACCUCACGACGCGCCAACUUGUCGACCAGCACUUGAAGGAAUGCCACAAGAUAAGCCUCUCCCAUAGUUUCUGGAGAAAAGCGAGCAAUCAAAGAAAAUGUAAGGAGUUGUUUCUUGAAGCAGCUUGAUUAGAAAUGCAUAAACUGAAACAAGCUAAAUUAGAAAUGCAAUAAAGAAAAGGAAUUUUGAGCAGACAAAAUAAAAUACAAGAAACUAAAAAAAAACAAAAAACAAAAGGCACCAAACAGAAUAAAUCAGAAGUACCUGUAGUUUAAGUAUAUGAUAUUUAUCAGCAGCAGAUUUCUUCACGAAUUACCGAAGGUGUCGCAAUGAACAAGAAGGAAAAUCCAAAGGCAAUACACAGUUACACACUUAUAGAACCAAAGAGAUCAAGAGAGCCAGAACCAAGACAUAAUAAAUAUGAAGAUGGAUGAAACUAAUUAUGGGUUUGAGAAUUUUGAGUUGACGGAAAAGACUCCGAAACAAAGACUGUAGAUAAGGAAAACGCAAUGCAAAUUCCCCAGCCUUUACAUAGAAAAAGUAGAAUGCUUAUUUACUUUGUUUUGGUCAAAAUGAAAAGUAGAAGCUGAUAAUUGAGUUUUGAAUCAUUGGAGUGUCUAGUCUAUUCUAAUGGCCCAGCUCCAGCUCAUGCCGCGUCCUUCUGUCUCAUUACGUUUGAUUCUGACAUGGUUUAUUUUUAAAAUCACUCACAUCACACUUGCUUUUGUCCAGCCACAUAUUAUGAUUAAUUUCACCAAUAAAUUUUGAUGAGGUUGGUCACAUAUUGGUUCUCCCUCACUCUCAUUUCAUGGAAGUUCAAACGGGCUCUAAGAUAAAUACGUCAAUGGCUAUAAAUUCACAUAUUUUUUUUCGCAUUUCCUUUUUGGUUAAAUCUUGACACAUAUGGACUGUAACAGUCUAAAUGACCAAUCCAACUCUUAGAAUGUCAUCUAAAUACCUAGAUUUGUAAUCAGCCAUAUAUAUCCUCACACUACAAGAUCGCUGGAAGGUACUUAUAAUGUAUCCUGCUGUGAGAUUAUAUUGUAUAAACCUGUCAACUCAACUGAAUAUAGAAUCCUCUAGGCAACAAAAAGUCUAAUAAGACCUAAAAACAAUGGGGUGACAUGUCAACACCAAAAGAAUAUAAAAAGUUCAGAGUGGAAAGAAAUAAAAAGAAAACAAACGAUGAAGAUGUCAGCGCAACCAAAUUGGUAUAUACAAUUUAGUGCCUAACCGACUGAGGAUUGAGGUAAAAAAAAUAAAAAAUAAAAACAAAGUCCCCAAGACUUUUCAUCCUGCCGACACCAAAGUUACAGAAAUUACUGUGUUUGAUUUUUGGAUUCCUUUAACUGCUGCCACCAGCACGUUACAUAGAAAAAGUAGAAAGCUUUUUUUUUUUUUUUUUUUUCCGGUCAAAAAGAAAAGUAGAAUCUGAUAAUUGAGUUUUGAAUAGUUUGUCUAGUCUAAUGGCCCAGCUCAUGCUGCGUUCUUCCUGUAAGUGAGCAACAAAUUUGGACUGAAGAAGGAGAACAGCUCCAGCACUGCAUUCUUCCUGUAAGUGAGUUUUCAAUCAAGUCUAGUGUUAGUCUAAUGGCCCAGCUCCAGCACUGCUUCUGUUUGACUCUGUUUUCAACUCACUCACAUCACACUUGCUUUUGUCCAACCCCGUUAUGAAUUCACCAAUAAAAUUUAGUGCCGAAUAUAUGAACCCUUUCUUUGGACGACAACGACCAUGAAAUUGCAGAAGACCAUAAAAUUAUUUCGUUCAGGGCGCCACUGGCUCCAUAACCAAUUCAGGUACAAGGUCCUUCUUAAGCCUUCUCUUCAACGCAAAAUGAACAUGUGCUACCAAUUCACCUUUUUCCGACCAAAAAACCAAGAAGAAAAAUACACGAGUAAAUCAAACUUUUUUUUUUUUUUUAAUACUUAUUUUAUUUAUACAUAAUUUCUAACUAUUGUGCAAGUUCAAUGUUCAAGCAACCGUAACAUGAUGGACUUGUGCAAUUUUGGUUCAUCGAAGUAAUUGAGAACUCUGAUUUUGUUGAAUGUCCAAACACUCUUGAAUAAUGAAAUUGUACACAAAGAAUUACACACUCUCUUCGAUAUUGAAGUUAGAUAAAUACUUUAAAAUGUAGGUUUUGAGUUAAUUUUGUUUUUUUAUUUAUUAUAUAGUUUUCCUUAAAAUAUAUGUUAUUUUAAGUAAUUAAGAAAAAUUAAAAACUAAAAUGUAAUAUUUUUCUUCUUCUUAAUAAUAAAGCAAGACUUCGUUUCAAACUAAAAUAUAUACAUUUAUAUAUUAUUUAUAAUUCUGGUUUGCUUUUAUAUAUAGUUCUGGUUUGCUUCUAGCUCAAAGAUAAAAACCUAAAAAGAUUCCUUUAACUGCUGCCACCAGCACGUUACAUGGUAAAGUAGAAGCUGAUAAUUGAGUUCUGAAUCAUUGGAGUGUCUAGUCUAUUCUAAUGGCCCAGCUCCAGCUCAUGCUACGUCCUUUCUGUCUGAUUAUGUUUGAUCCUGACAUGAUGUUUUUUACUCUCCCUCACAUCACACUUACGCUUGUCCAGCCACAUAUAAUUAUGAUUAAUUUCACUAAUAAGCAAGGCUAAACUAAUCAUAGCAGACCAUUUCAUUAAAUUUAAGUGAAUUUAUUAUUCAGAUAAAUCACGUGACUAAUAUAAAAAUUCACAUAUGUGGUCUAUAUAUAGUACCACCACCGUAAAACAACUUUUUAUUUACAUAUUCGGAAUUAAAUAAGGAAAAUAACAUCCUACUUAUUUUUAAAAUAUAAAUUAAACAAUAAAUUAAUAUAAAUUUGGCAAAGAAUCCUAUGUGCUUCAAACUUAAUCAAACAACUCAAAAAUCUCACCGAUACAUCCCUCAAAUAGGAUUUAGGAUUAUGAAUAAUUCAGUAUAUUUCUAUUCUUCUCAUAAGGAGAUAUUUAUAGUGAUACAAAUACAAGCCAAUCUAGAAAGUACUUAAAAUAAGAAAUAAAAGAAAUAAAUACAAUCCCAGUCAAACCGGUAUACCUAUAAUUACAAAUCAAUUAUAAUAAAGGUAAUUGUCAAUAAUUCCUAUUGUGAUUCAGCGAUUCACACUGGAAAUAUCCAUUUUCUCACCAUAAUUGACCCAGAUCUCGUCCUACAUCACAGAGAAUUUGAAAAAACAUUGAAGUCAAGCAAACAAAAGAAAGAAAAAUAUGGCUAAAAGUUUUCUCAGCAGAGAGAUGACAAAAUAAUAUUACAAGGCAAACCAAGUGAGUAAUGAAGUACUUUCUUUUCCUAUAUAUUUUUCAAAUGUUCUGCCUUCAAAUUCUGAUCGCAUGUUUGCAAGUGCCUAUUAAAAGGAAGAGCCUUUUAAGUCUUCCCAUUUCCUGAAUUUAAAAUAUAUCAUAAAGAGAAAUAAAGAUGGAUUUACCAUUUGUUCGAUAAAUCGUUGUCGUCCAGCAUGGGGGAGUCCCGCUUGAAGCAAUUGUAGAUGAAAAAGAACCACCUGGGAAACAUAAUAAGACACUUUAUUAUUUCACGGUUACCAUUAAAGGUUGAUAGUGUUUGAAAUUUGAAGUACCUGGGGAGAGUUGGAUAUAUCUCUAGGUAAGGAAUGUGGGAUAUUUUGUGCCAGUAUGGUCCAAAGACACAAGAUCUUUGCGACUCAGUUAUGACCCAAAAUAUCUUUGGACACCCAGAGAUCCAAAAUUGUGAAAGUGAAAGAGUCGGGGCCACUGGAAUAGAUGCCAGCUUUGGACAAUUCCAGAGUUGAAGACAUUGAAGAGAGGUGAGGAAUUGAAAGCCCUUGCUGCUCAGUUUCUUCAAAUUUGGGAAGCACCCAAUUGUGAGAUGAGUGAGAGAUUCGGGGAGCAGCAUCUCCAUAUCCAUAUCUGUGUCUCCUUCGGGUGGAAACGACACCACAUAUGGGUCUUCGCCAUCGACCCACAACAUUGUAAGAGAGGUGAGCCUGUGCAACAACUCCCACAUCGGCUUACAAUUCUUAAUUCCGCCGAUUACAAGUGAUGUUAGGUUGGAGGGAAAGGAAGUGAAAUUUAAACCUUCACCGUAAUCAAUAUUCAAUUCCUGAAGACAGUUGAGAUUGCCCAUAUCCGGUAACAUCUCCAAUUUGUUGCAAUUUUUUAUGAUGAUUCGUCUCAGGCUGGAGGCGGCUGUUGUUGUUGGCGAAAGCAAACCCUCACCACUCAGGCUCGGGAUGGAAACCAGACUCCCACAAUCAUAAAUCUGUAAAGUUUGAAGAUUGGUGAGGUGGCAUAGGCCCUCCGGUAUGGAUUUCAGAUUUUGGCAAAAACUGAUGCUAAUAUAUUCAAGACAAUAAUUAGUGUUGUCGUGGGAGAACCCAUCGAACGUUAUUAACUGCAGCUCUCCACAAUGGGAUAUGUGAAGGCUUUUAAGCGCCUUGGGAAACAACUGGGCUCUCAAUGAUAACGACGUUAGAGAUUCACAUUCCCGUAUAUCCAAGUAUCGAAGAGAAAUAUGAGAAGAAGUGGAAGACGAAGAACCCACCUCCUCCUCUACAAAUGACUUCAAACUUUUACACCGCAUUAUCUUUAUUCUUCUUAGAUUUGGGGGAAUCUGGUAUUUUGCAAAAUACAGCAACGAAUCACACUCCUCAAUCCUUAUGACUUCAACGGAAGGAGGAAAACCAACAUCUGGAAAAGAAACCAGACUUGAGCAUCCAAUUAUUUGAAGGUCUUGAAGAGCCGUUAAGUGGUGCAACCCUUCUGGUACCUUCGAAAGACUUGCACAAUAGUUUAAUUGUAGAUAUUUAAGCUUGCAAGUCAAUAUUUGCAAUUGCAGCAAUUCCUCUGCUUCUUUUCCCAGCUUUUCAAGGAGGGAAGAGUUGCCUGAAAUAACCAAACGAUGAAGAGAAAUCAAGUGUUGCAAUACUCUAUCCUCAUUCUCCAGUGAAGAUGUCAGCUCCUCACAUCCGCCAAUCGUCAAUUUUACAACCUUCCUUAAUCCUUUGGUGAAUUCCCCUGUUUGGAACCUCACCUCUUUAAUAUUUGAAAGUUGCAAGGACUUUAAUAACUCAAACUCAACCCCACUUGUCUUCAGCACCGCUUUGCAGCCAUCUAUCCAUAAUCGACCAAUUUGUUUAUAGUUGGAAAUUGAAAUCACCAAUUCCUCGCAUUUAAUAAUUGUAAGUCUUGCUAAAGAAUCAAGGUUCUCUGGCACCUUACCCUCCAAUUGAGGACAAUUUCUGAUUGAAAGAAACUUCAAGCAAGGGAAAACAUCAAUUCCCCGAUCCCCCACAAAAGGAACCCAUUUCUUCCAGUGUUGCAUAUCCUCAAACUCAAGAGUCUCCAGUACUGGAAAAGGCAAGCUACCCUCCCCAUAAAACUCAGGACCGACACUUCUCACUGCAGCCAUUCCUGUAAUAUAAAGUUCUUUGAGCAAAGGCAGUUGCCCAAGGGGUGGCAAGAUUUGACAAUUUUUACAUUUGUCUAAGCGUACAUGCACCAUAGUGGAGAAUAAACGAUCUCCAAUCCAUGUUGAAAAUUCUAAUCCAGCAUAACCCUUGAUGAUGAGUUUUUUAAGCAUUCUAUGAGGUUCUAAUCCGUUAAGCACGCCUAAUUGUGUUUCUUGUGUGGCACUCGACCAUUCUAGCACCAAUUCAUCUACUCUCUCCUUGCAUUUUAAGUCGGCCCUCUGUGCAUCCUCAGCAUCGAUCACAUUCUCUAAUCUUGAGAGCCGUAAUGUCCCUCGGAGAUGGAAUAGGGACCUUAUCUCUCUUAUACCCGAUUGAUCACUACCUUUACCCACAACAAAAUUAGACAAAGAUUGUAGAUUUGUCAACCGACCUAGCUGUGGAGGCAUUGCAUAUUCAAAUGAGUAGUAGAGAUGACGCAGAUUCAAUAGAUUCCUCAAGUUGAUAGGCAGUGCCUCCAAAUAACGACAACCUUCCAAUAUCAAUGUCUGUAAGUUGUAAAGAGUGGUGGUUGAUUCAGGCAAACAUUCUAUCUCUGUGUGAGAGAGAUCAAGAUACCGCAAAUGCUUCAAUUUACCAAUUGAAUUUGGCAGCUCAGUUACUUGAUAGCCAUUGAAAGAAAGCACCCGCAAGUAUUGCAAUUUUGGCAAUAAAUCAAAAGUAACCUUACGGCUUAGAUAAUUUGAAGGAUGAUCAACUGAAAGUGGUAGGAAGGUUCGCAAAUGUUUCAUUUCAGAAAAUGCCUCAAAUCUUUUAACCACGUCAUACUUACCAGAAAUGUAGGAAGCAUGGCGGGCCUUCGUAAAACAUCCAAGUUGUACAUGAUCGCUAUUCUGCUUAUCCUCCAAUCUAACACAAAUAUCUCCUGCUGCCCACUGUGCCAAACCAACAAUGAGGUCAUGCAUUACGUACUUUGAAUUGUUCUUGCUUGAUUUCUGAAAUAAUGACCUCGAUAAGAGCUCCUGAAAAUAGUCAGUUCCUAAAUCUUCCAUUUGCUUAUUAUGUUCUGGUUGUGGUUGAAUCAAACCCUCUGCCAUCCACAGAAGAAUCAAUUGAUGCUCACUAAAUUCAUAGUCAUUUGGAAGUAUCGAACAAUAGGCAAAGCAUCUUUUCAAAUGUGAAGGAAGAUAGUGAUAGCUUAAUCGUAAUACCGGCAGUAUGUCAUGCUCAUUUGAUAGACUCCAUAAUUUGUUGUUCAAUAUUUCCUUCCAUUCAUUCAUCUCUUUACGAAGUAAAAGACCGCCAAGAGUCCUAGCAGCCAGAGGCAAUCCUCUGCAUCUUGAAACAAUUUUCUCCUUGAGUAACUCGAAAUUUGGUGGUAUAUCUCUGUUAACAUUCCUGAAUGCAUGCUGCUCAAAUACUUCAAAACAAACGUCAUUUUUCAUAAGCUCCAAAUUAUGAACUAGAGUGCCAGCUCCCAUCAUUUUCGAAACUUCUGCAUCUCGCGUUGUCACAAUUAUCUUGCUUCCUGCUGCUCCAUCGCGAAAGGGGGACUGCAGUUUCAUCCACAGACCAUAGCUACAUGUGCCCCAAACAUCAUCUAAAACAAUUAAAAACUUCUUUCCAGCUAAUUCCGUAUGCAGAUACUGUUGAACCUGAUUGAAAUCUUCUGUAGGAUAGUGCCGGGAUGUGACUGAUUCGAGAAUUUGCUUUGUCACUCUUUCUAGGUUGAAGUCAUCAGACACGCAUACCCAAGCAGUUGGUUUAAAUUGAUCGGUUGCAACAAUUUCAUUGAACACUUGUGCAGCAAGUGUUGUCUUUCCGACUCCAGCCAUGCCAACAAUGGCAACUACAUCGAAAUUGACGGCACCACGCUCUUGUUUCGACACAAAUUCAACAACCCGCCUUUUGUCUUCGUCCCUUCCAAUCACAGGUCCAUCUGGUUGACUGGAACUGGGAGGUAAAUUUUGACGUGCCGUAGUGGACGACGUCGUCCCAGUAAUGAUAUUCAAACUAAUAAGCUGGUCCUUUUGCUGAGAUAUCUCUUGUAAACGCUGAGUAAUCUUCUGUAUUUCUGAGUUCAUUUUGUAGUUGAAAACACCAUUAGGAACUGAGUUCCAGACCCUUCUUGCGGUAUAAUGCUCUGUCUCCCGUUUGAGCGUUUUAGUAGCAUAUUUGUCCAAUACGUCUUCCACGUCAUAAGCUAAGUCCCUGAGAUCACCCAGCCAAAGCUUCAGCGGCUUGCUCUCGGUGAUUAGUUGCCUCUCCUCCGCCUCAUUCAGAACCGCCCCAAUUGCAGACAAGGUGGCAGUCCAUUUCUGCAGCUUUUGGUCGACGCCUUUUAUGAGUCCGAAGUACUUGAACACCUCCCGACGCGCCAACUUGUCGACCAGCACUUGAAGGAAAGCCACAAGAUAAGCCUCUCCCAUAGUUUCUUGAAUUAGC